GUCCUCAUGUUUGGCCUUUAUGUAGCAAGUAGGGAAGUCCUGGCUGCUGGGGCCAGCCCCAGGCUGCUCCACACCCAUCAGCAACCACACAUCUGUUCUCUGUCACCCUUGGAGCAAAUUCAAGGGCAGACUUUCCUUCGGGACUGGCAGAUCUAGGGACAAGAAUAGCCUGGCUGAGAAAUAAAGUUUUAGUUUAUACUAAAUAUACUCAUAAGAUAAAAAAACAUACUAGUGCCUACAAAUCGCCUGCUCUCUCAGUGUAGGAAGUAGUGGGGUUGACGUGUUCAAUAAGCACAAAUAUGCUGAAACGCUUGUUAGACCCUUUUCUCCACUCAUUCUAGUAUCUUGGUGUCUCCAACAUGUAAAUAGGAAGGAGGAAGAGGGUUUCUCUUCCUCCAGCUUCUCGCCACUGCUGAACCUGAAGCAGCAGAACCCGUUCAGCUCCACACUGCUGACCUGUGCUGGGGCAGGUCCCGACCCCACCGAGGCUGCCGCGCCUCUCACUGAGCCUGGAUUCUCCCCGCAAGUUCCUUUUCCCUAUAGCAUUUUCCAUGGCCCAGUUCCCCUGUUUCUGAGCAUUUUCUCCUCCCAUUCACAGCCUAGAAUCCAUAUGUAGCAAAUCUUUUUCCAGCCCUUAGCAGAGGCACAAGGCUGAGGGUGUCUGUUUACCGAAAAGCAGGUCGGUAACUUUCCGUGGUUCUCUCUCCCUGCAAUGGCCUCCCAAGAAAACCUUCCAAAUUCCAAUUCCACUGAGUCCCAAUCCUAACCAUGAAGACAGUUACAUUUCAUGCAUAUAAAUUAUAUAUCCAGCAUAAUUAUAAUUAAUGGGCAUGUUGUAUAUCUGAUAUAAUGCUAAUUAGAUACUGUAUAUUUGUAAAAUCUUUAAAACAUAGACUCGUGGGUCCAGAAUUUGAGAGGGUUUUACCUUUGGCUUUCCAGACAGAUUGGGCUUUGCUUUAUUUUUUUGUUAGAUUUGGGUUUGAUUUUUCUUUUCAUUUUCUUUCCCCCCCCUUUGAUUGGUGUUCCUACCAAACUCUGUAGAACCGACUCCCACCAGAACACACUUCUGCAGCCAGGAAAGGGUCUCAGAGGGUUUGAAGGCCAGCCAGAGCUGGUGCUGGAGCUGUGGGUGCUGGACACUGUCCCCAGUGUGCCCUCGAGGCCCCAGCACAUGCACACACACCCCACGGGUCAGGGCAGGCACGCUCCUUCCUCGGGGUGAGGUGAUGUCUGACUUCACGCUGUGAGCACAUCCCUUGCACUUCUCUUCAUGUCCCACGUCCCCACACCGACUCUUUUCCCAAACAACUCUUCAUUAGGCAUCCUAAACCUUGCUCUGCCCUCCUCCCUCCCCUCAAAUACCUCCCACCUCCUGGCCUUAAUGACAUUCCCAGCCCAACUGUGCCAAGUCCUGUAGCAAACAAUGAUUUAGGGCGUGAGUCUCCUGUGGAGGCUCUGGUGAAGCACCAGCGCUGUCUGGUGCAGGGCAGGUAGGAGGAGCAUGUCCUUACCCCAGUGGGACACACAGGUGGGCCUCAGUGGGGUGUCCAGGUGGCCUUUCUCCUUCCCAGGCUGUCCUGGAGCUGGUCCUAUUUCCAGAGCUUUAUCCUGCCCCAUCUGAUGGAGACUGUGCUGAGAAGGACUCCAUCAGUCAGAGGUUACUGGGGCUUUGUUUGACGGAAACUGAGCUGGGAGGGAAUAAAUUAAAUAAAUAAAUAAUAGUGUCCAGGGUCAGAUCCUGCAGCCUUGGGCAAAAUCACUCUGGGCAACGACCAGAACUGUCUGUGGAUCAGGGUGGCAGUCCAUGGCAUGGGAGGGAUGGGAGAGAACAGGCUCACAGCUCACCUCCUGCCCCCUCCUUUGAUGGACACUACUCUCCCCUGACUACCUCCAAGCUCCUCGGCUCAACCCCUGGAUUUCUCCUCCCAGAAGACAAUCCCUGUGAAAACUUGCCCUGCUGACCUUCCCGCAGGCCAGAGGGUGGGACUCGUGUGAAGAGAAGAGAAGCUCUCACGGCUGAUGGGGAGGCAGCCCCUGAUGAGGUUCUGGGGCUCUUCCACUUUCCCUUGGCCCAGGCAAAGCCAGGGAGAUCUGAACACUGUGGGAGAGCAGAGUGCACUGUAGAGUCUCCAGGAGCUGUGGUGGCAGAGCUGGAGCAGAGGUGACGUGGGAGGCUGUGGGUAGGUGAACACUCCUCUCUCUCCAUGUCCAUAGCUAUCUGUCUCAAGCUCUAGUCCUCAUCUCAAUGUUCCAUUUGUGAGCUAAGAAGUUGCUGGACCAGAUGCAAAUUUGGAAAUUUUUCAUUCAAGCAGCCCGUGCUGAUGCUGAGCUGGGCCAUUUGACCUCUGUGUCUUCUCCUGUUGUGGCUAACAAAUAUCACAGGCCCUCUGCUUUUUUGUGUCUUACCUGGGCAAGAAUCCUCCAGAGAAAUCUCAGCCUCAUUUCCUUGUCUUUUUUCCACCCCCUCAACUGCUUCAAGCAGAUGUGUCCCACAGGGAGCCUUUUUAGGCCAAAUCUCUUCAGGGACUCUGCCACCACCACAGAAAAUUUUCAGCAAAUUUCCUCGUGCCCUGGAUACCACCAUGUGUUCCCACAGCUCACUCUGUAUGCUGUGUGCUGGUGGAUGGGGCAGUGGCAUUUCAGCACACACAGGUGUCCUUAGGUCAUUUUUCUCCCUUAUUCCUCCCUCUGAGAAUUUGUCACUGAAAGAACACUUGGUCUGGGACCGAGUGUCAUCACCCACAGCCUGGUCCCCAGCACUUCAUUCCCAUGUGAUGAUAAUGGGAAUUUCCAUUGUCCAAAGUCCAAUGGAGGGCUCAGACCACAAGGUCUGUGAAGUGCUCUGAGAUCCUCUCACAACAGAAACUGUAGAGCAGCAAAGUGUUUUUGUUACUCUUGUUUGUCAUUGUCCUGACGCGUGGUGUGUGAUGUGCCACAUCCUCUCUGCCCAGGAGGAGAGUGCUGGGCUGGGAAUGCCCAGGUUCCCACUGCUCUCCUCUGGGCAGGGUCCUGGCAGGCUGCAGCUCCAAGGGAUGCUGCUCCCUGCCCUGGGACCCUCCUGCUUCCUUCUCCUCGUGUCUGAGUCACCACAACACCCUGCACUCAGGAGAAAAGCAGGAAGCAGCCACAUUCCUCUGUACAGUGAGAUAUAACCUGCCUUGAUUAAUCUCAUAUACUCUGAAGAAUUGAUCUGUAUUUUCUCCACCCACAGGUGCAAGCAAACACCUGGGGAGUGUCCAGUUCCCAGAGUGCAUGUGCAGGGACUGGGGAAGGGGGAUGUAGAAAAUUUAUAGUAUUUCCUACAAGCUGAUAAUUAUUUGCAUUCCCUGAGCAGCAACAUGUCCUGGAUGGCUGCACUGGGUUUUAUACAAUUCUCUGUGUGUGUGUAUAUAAAUACAAAUACAUAUAUAUAUAUAUAUACAUACAUACUGUAAAAUGCAAUCAACACGUUCUGACUGACCCUGUACCAACUGAAGCUUCCAAACUGUGUUGAAUCAUACUUUGAAAUGUGGAAAACUAUUUUUAAUGAACCACACACAGCACCACACGGAACAGAAACUUUGUCAUAAAAAGCCUUCUAAUGCCACUGAAUCGUGUUUUAAGGAAAAAAAAAAAAAAAAAGAAAUAUUUUUCAACGUUUUAAUGUUCCUUUUAUAAAUGAUGAUCUGUUACUUGGGGAUGGGGGUGGGUGGGAAGAAACAGAGACAGUUGUCCGGGAGUAAGCCCUCCUUCCCUGGCCUGGAUUUAAUUUCUGUCUGCUGAGCCUGGCUGGCUGCAAAGCUGCUCCCAGGAACCUGAGCUUCCCACAUGCACAUUUCUGUUCUGUCAGAAGCAUUCCCACCAGGAAUCUGCAGGAGCUUGGCAUCAGGUUUAUGUAGCUCCUGGUAGCUGGGAAGACAUCCUCAUCUUCUUCCACCACCACAAACAAAAUCUCCAUGGAACAGGAUAACUUUAAUUGUGUUUGAGAUGUGUGUUCUAUUUGUGAUCAAUUUGCCAUGUUCAGCUCACGGAGAAAUAGCUUGUCUUAGUUUAGUUUCAGAUUUACUGCUUAACCUGGAAGGAGGGGCUCUGCUGAAACACCUUUGGCACAAACAGAUUUGGUAUUCAGUGUGUUUCAGCUGAGUGAAAGAAGGGAAAGGUGUGAGAAAGGGGCUUAAAUAUUUUGUAGUGAGUGUUGUUAGCAAUAAGCCCAUGUUGGGGCUGCUCCUUGGGGAACAGCCACUCCUGUGCUGUGUGUCCACAGGCAGGUGGGAGCAGGGAUCAUUCCCAGCUCUCCAUGGUGAGAGGUGCCCUCCUGAGCCCAAAUCCCAGCUGGGACAAGCCAAAUGUGCUUCACCCAAGGCCAGGGGAGAGCUGGACGGAGCUGUCUGAGUGUGUCGGUGUUAAUCUGAGAGAGAUCUCUGCUCCCACACCCUGGCUCUCCACCAUGGCCACACCAUGUCCGGGAGGCCUCCAUGCCAGGAGGUCUCCAUCCUGAGAGGUCUCCAUGCCAGGAGAUCUCUCUCCGUCCCAGGAGAUCUCCAUCCUUGCAGGUCUCCAUCCUAGAAGGUCUCUCUCCAUCCUGGGAGGUCUUUCUCCAUCCCAGGAAUCUCCAUGCCAGGAGGUCUCUCUCCAGGCCAAAUCUCCAUCCCUGAAGGUCUCCAUCCCAGGAGAUCUCUCUCCAUUGCCAGGAGGUCUCCAUCCAAAGAGGUCUCGCUCCCUGGAGGUCUCUCUGUCUCUGGAGGUCUCUCCCAUCCUGGGAGGUCUCUCCCUAUCCCUGAAAGUGUCUCCCCAUCCCUGGAGGUCUCCAUCCCACUCUGGGAGGUUUCUCCCCACCCCAGGAGGUUUCUCCCCAUUCCAGGAGAUCUCUCCCAUCCCCAGAGGUCUCUCCCCAUCCUGGGAGGUCUCUCCCAUCCCUGGAGGUCUCUCCCCACCCCGGGAGGUCUCUCCCCAUCCUGGAAAGUCUUUCCCCAUCCCUGGAAAUCUCUCCCCAUCCCAGGAUGUCUCUCCUCAUCCCAGGAGGUCUCUCCCAUCCUGGGAGGUCUCCAUCCCACCCCAGAAGGUCUCUUUCUUUCCCUGGAAGUCUCUCCUACACCAGGAGGUCUCUCCCAUCCCUGGAGGUCUCCAUCCCACCCCUGGAUCUCUCCAUCCCACCCUGUUGCCAGGAGGAGCCUCUCCCUUCACCCUCUGCUCCGCCGCCCGCAAACCCCUGAGACAUUUUUGUAGCAAGAAUUUCUUGGCUCUGAGAACGACACUUCUUACUGUAACAUUUUUAGUUCGGGGGACAAUAUUUCCUAAGAGGGGUUAAGUGGAUAUUUUUGUGCUUUAGCCCAGUUUAUGGAUUCCAUGUUUAUUAUACAGUAGUACUGAAGAGGAAGUACAUUUGUAUCUGUAACUUUGCACAGACUCUUGGUUAACCAUUAAACAAGCUUCAAGAUGAGCAGUAUUUGACUGUUUUUCUCUGUAUUAUUCUUGUUGUUAUACUUACCUGUAAAAGCACAUUCUGUAUGUACUGUAAACAAAAAUAUUAUCAGUUUAGUAAAAUUUAGAGUCUUAAGGAUUUUUCCACUUUUGUCAGUAACAACUAUUUAUGGAUUAAAAAAUAAAGGCAAUUUCAACAUAUAAAUUGUUUCUUUUUGAUAUCUAUUGGGGGGAAAUAAAAGCCAUUUUCUUGGCAGCCUUCCCAAUCUUUGUAACCAGCGUUUGAAAGGUAGAUACCUGUGAUUCUGUGUGUAGUUAAAUAGCAUCUAUUAAAGUGAAUGCUGCAAGGUC